rnacentral:rRNA from 1 species
AGUGAACGCUGGCGGUAGGCCUAACACAUGCAAGUCGAACGGCAGCACAGUAAGAGCUUGCUCUUACGGGUGGCGAGUGGCGGACGGGUGAGGAAUACAUCGGAAUCUACUUUUUCGUGGGGGAUAACGUAGGGAAACUUACGCUAAUACCGCAUACGACCUACGGGUGAAAGCAGGGGAUCUUCGGACCUUGCGCGAUUGAAUGAGCCGAUGUCGGAUUAGCUAGUUGGCGGGGUAAAGGCCCACCAAGGCGACGAUCCGUAGCUGGUCUGAGAGGAUGAUCAGCCGCAUUGGAACUGAGACACGGUCCAGACUCCUACGGGAGGCAGCAGUGGGGAAUAUUGGACAAUGGGCGCAAGCCUGAUCCAGCCAUACCGCGUGGGUGAAGAAGGCCUUCGGGUUGUAAAGCCCUUUUGUUGGGAAAGAAAAGCAGCAGGUUAAUACCCCGCUGUUCUGACGGUACCCAAAGAAUAAGCACCGGCUAACUUCGUG